CUAAACUGGGAGACGUCGUUCAAACUACCAAGCUAGAGAAUGGGAGAGGGAAGUGGGAAUUCCGCGGUGUAGUGGUGAAAAUGCGUAGAUAUCCGGAGGAACACCAGUGGCGAAAGCGGCUUCCUAGACCAUUUCUGACGCUUAGACGCGAAAGCUAGGGGAGCGAACGGGAUUAGAGACCCCGGUAGUCCUAGCUGUAAACGAUGUAGACUUGGCGUUGGCGGAGUUAAAUCUGCCAGUGCCGGAGCUAACGCGUUAAGUCUACCGCCUGGGGACUACGACCGCAAGGUUAAAACUCAAAGGAAUUGACGGGGACCCGCACAAGCAGCGGAGCGUGUGGUUUAAUUCGAUGCUACACGAAGAACCUUACCAGGGUUUGACAUGCAAGUGGUAGGAAACUGAAAGGGGACCGACCCUUCGGGGAGCUUGCACAGGUGCUGCAUGGCUGUCGUCAGCUCGUGUCGUGAGAUGUUCGGUUAAGUCCGCUAACGAGCGCAACCCUCACUGUGUGUUACAUGUGUCACACGGGACUGCCGGUUUUAAGCCGGAGGAAGGUGGGGAUGACGUCAAGUCAGCAUGGCCUUUAUAUCCUGGGCUACACACACGCUACAAUGGUCGGUACAAUAGGUUGCCAAGCCGCGAGGCGGAGCCAAUCCAAAAGCCGGCCUCAGUUCAGAUUGUAGGCUGCAACUCGCUNGCAUGAAGAUGGAGUUGCUAGUAACCGCAGGUCAGCAAUACUGCGGUGAAUACGUUCCCGGGUCUUGCACACACCGCCCGUC
rnacentral:rRNA from 1 species